UCCGGAGCUCUCCGCCGGGCAAGGCCGUCCCCGUCCGUAAAUUCCCUGCAACUUCAGCCACCUGUUGCCGGACAUUGAACCGCGCGGUUUUCAAGCAACGCGCUGUACCAUGGAUCUGAUCAAAUUGCAUGCAUAUCCCUCUCUUUUUCCUGCGAUCCCCGAUGCUGCACGGAAGACCCCAUCACCUCAGCUGACAGAAUGCUUUUACUCAUCGCCUUUAUAGCUCUCUUGUGGCUUUCCUGGCCUGGCAUCCUUAGCUCUCCGGGCAGCCAGCCUCAUCCUGGGUGUUUAAUUAUCAGUUAUCUCCAGUGCACAAGCUAUUAAUACUUUUGCCAUGACAAUAUUCACCUGAGAAUUUGACUUAUUUCAGCAGUUGGUAGGACAAAGAGGUGUUCAUCACCGAAUGCACUGGCACAACAGUUACAUUUAAGGGCAUGGAUUCUUUUCUCCUUUACUUGAGUUUCUUAGUUUGAAGUAUUAUACUAGUACAGCUUUGUACAAUAUGCUUGUUCAACUAACAGUGGAACUUGUGUUGACAUAGCUUAUCUCCUCCCUAAAACAAGUUAAUGUUACCUUGUGCAUAUUAAAUUUUAGAUUGAUAUAUGUAUGUCCCCCACAGGAAAGCUCUACAAAUUAACUUUACAACUUCUUGCUGUCAGCAAGACCCAGGUCUGCAUAAAAAGAUAUGCUGUUCUCAGCAGUAGUCUUGACAUGUAAACCCAAAUGCAACGUUAUUCAGAAAACAAAACAUAAAAUGGAAUGUAAACACCCAUAUAUGUGAGAAAUCCUGUUUCUCUGCAUAUAUCUUAGAGUGUAACAUAUAUUUAAUAUACCAAUGGAAAAGUAACUAGUUACUAUAUAUUAAUCAAAUUCAGGUGAAUGUAUGUGUAUAACAAUGUAUUUCUCAAAAACUUUAUUAUUUUCAUAUUUUCCUGUCAACUGAUAUAUAAACCAUUAGGUUCCAGAAGUACCCAUUAUGUAAGUAACUUAUAUAAGUGAUGUGAUUGUUGACACACCUAAUACCCAGCAACAUUUCCUGUUGAUUAAAAGCAAGUACUCAGACUUGGAAAGAAAGGAUAAAAAUAAUAUAGCUAAGACCUGCAAUUUUGAAUCAGAAUUGAGGCUGUUAAUAUUAAGUGAAAUCUGUACUUUCUUUUAAUUCAGAAUUAAGGAGUCUUUCCCUUAGUAAAAGUCUGUUCAAAUCAUGUUGCUGAGACGUGCGUGAACAGAUAGCAGCAGCAUCCAGUAAUAAUGUAGGAAAAAAUCUACAUGGCUGAAGACUACUCUGGCUGAUGUCACCAAAAGUUAUCCAUAGCCCUGCUUCCACCUCUUAGCCCUGCUUCCACCUCUUCUUUAAUCUGGUAAGAAUAAUGCACUAGGCCAUCAUGUGGCCAUUUUAAAGUUUUAAGAUGUCCUUAAUUACUUUUAAGUAAUUGGAAUUGCUUUCAUAAGGUUACUUAAUUGCAUUUUGACACCUUAUUUACUUUUGGAAAUGUUUGGAUUUGUUUUGAAUGGGUCUGGCAACUCAGCAGGACUGUUUGUAAGAAAUCAUUUCCAUGUUCAUAAAGAAAAGCUUUUGGAACACGUUUUCUUGGAAAUAACCAAUAUGUACCAGCUAGGGUAAAAAUGUCUGUUCAUAUGAUUUAUAUAUUGUGGUUCAGUCCCCAGUUCUCUGACAUUUUUUGCAUAUGCACUGUCAUGUAUUGAUUCACACCCUGUACCGGGAAAUUGUUCUCCUGGGCAAUGAUCCGCAGUCACUGUCUUGAGGAACAAACAUAGGAACCUGCUAGGAUUCUGCAGUUUGGUGUGAAGCCAAGCUAUUUUCAGGACUCCUGCAGUGUUAAGCCACCACCAUUUCAAAUGCUUGCCCACCUGUUUGGAGGAAACGAUGGAGAGUCCAGAGAAUGGACUAGAGAAAGACAUGAUGGUGGGGUAGUGAUACUGGCAGGAAAGGAGGAGGUGGAGACCGAGUCAUUCCAUGGCUGGUUGGGAUAGAGAGUAAUUAUGCUGGGACUUUAGGAUGGUAAAGUUGCAAAGCAUCUGUACAGAUUGCAGUCUGAAUAUUCAGCAGCAAAGAGACAAUACAGCUGCACCUCUACAUGUGGACUUUCUGCUCACUGGGAUUGAUAAUGGUCUACCAGUAUGUGCUAGAAAUGUUUAUCACAUGUAUAUUUCACUGUGUUGGUACUGAGGAAAUACUUCCUGUUUUACAAAGUUUAUGACCCCAAGCUCUGCUGGCAGCAGUGGCUGAAUGUGCCUAUAUUUCAAGCUGAAAAUUUGGUUUCAUAAAUAGAAAAAAAAUUCUUUUUCUCAAGCUUCUUCAAGCAAAGCCUUAUGAAUCGCUACAGAAAGUUCUAUGUUAUAGAAUUAUAUACAAUGGUUAAUAACAGGUUUUUUGGAAAUUCAGCCUUAUUUACUGAAACAGAAAUAAGAAUUGCUCUGCAGACUGCAAUGGAUGUUAUUGAUGUGUCCACUCCUUUUCUCACUCUUGGAGGUCUAAACAUCUUUCUGCUUCUCUGACUAAUGAUGCCUUUUACUUGGCAAAUGCACUGGAGAAAGGAACUGCAUGACUGUUCUGACCAACUGUAAAAUAAUAAUAAAGGGCUUUGUUGGGAAAUUAAGGGCAGGUGGAGGAGCCUUACAAACACUCUGAUCAAUAUUUGCUGCAAGUGGCAGAUGUUCACUAUGUCUUAUUGGAAGUCCAUGAGAGGAGAAGGAGAUCUCUGUGCUGCUCAGGAAAACAAGAAAUCCUGUGCUCAUCUUGGAAUGAGAAGGAGGGAAGAAGAUGCUGGGCUAAAGAGAGAGAUAGUUUCCUGUUAUUGAAUAGUAACAGGGCUUGAGUUUGCAGUUUUAUGUGCACCUCUGUAGCAAUGUUACCUUGAAUAUGUUUCCAAGAGCUGAGAAAAAGUCUUAGAGCAAAAGCCAAUGGAUGAAUCAGAAGGAUGUGCAGCAUUGCAUAGAAGGGUACUGAAGUAUAUUCAACUGCAGAAGUGAGAGAGACCAUACAGAUGAGAAACGAAGAGGGCUGCACUGCUUUGCUCUGUGCAUAAAAGCACAGUCUUUGCCCUACGACCUCCUGCAACACAUGCAGGUCAGCAUCAUGUGCACCAGAAGGAAGCAGACUGUAAAGCAAUUGGCCUGAAUUCAAGAAUUUUAUAUUGCUGAAGGUUUGAUUACAAGUGUUUUAUAAUCUCAGCAUUUUGAAAUGUUUAAUUUUGGUAAUUCAUCUUAUAAAAUGUGAAAGGAAGCUAAAGAAUGCUGAACCAAUUAUAAGCCAAAGUAUAUUUGCUAUUGCUUAUUUUUUCUGCAUUUGAUGUUGCAAUAAAUAUGCCUGCCCUACAA